rnacentral:rRNA from 1 species
CCUACGGGGGGCUGCAAUUAGGAAUCUUGUGCAAUGGGGGCAACCCUGACACAGCGACGCCGCGUGGGGGAGGAAGGCCUUCGGGUCGUAAACCCCUUUUGGGGAGGAAGAACAAAAUGACGGUACUCCCCGAAUAAGCCACGGCUAACUCCGUGCCAGCAGCCGCGGUAAUACGGGGGUGGCGAGCGUUGUCCGAAGUCACUGGGCGUAAAGCGCGCGUAGGCGGGGGCUUAAGUCCGCUGUGAAAGCCCGUGGCUCAACCACGGCGGGUCGGC